AAUGCAGAUAAUUUGUUUAAAAGGCACCAUGCACACUGGGCAGGCUGGCUUCCCCUGGGAACGUCUUCUUUUGCCUGGAUUCCCAGUUGGUUUAAUCGGGCGUAGAACACUUUCUUCAAUCCGGGAUUCAGGCACCCCUGCUCAGCACAAACUCAGUACACCCCGCACUCUGCUGUGGGUUCUUGGCACUAUUAGGAGAAUGUGAGGGGGUGAUUCAGAUCUAUCUCUAGUGGGUGCAUGUCUGCCACUCCCAGGAACGCCCACUUCUGGCAAGUCAGUGUCAGAGAAAGGCCAGCUCGUGGCCCCUCCUGCCUUGAGUCCCAGGACCCGUGAUCAGUCCUACCCGGAGCAGAAUCAGGAGUUUGAAAACCCAAGUGCCAACAAUCUCAUUUUAACCCAUGUAAGCAUAUCCAAUAUUUAUAUAUAGAAUUCAUAACAGAUGUCUGGGCUUCCAUUCCAAUAGCCUAUAUUUUACACUGUUUAUUUACAUGGUUACACCAAACAAGACUCAAUUCAAGGUAACCCAAUCCUUUGCUACUAUACCAAAAUAAGCAACAUUUUCAGUCCAUGCCUUAUAUAUAUUCACCAAGCAUUACACUAGGCCUCCAACUGCUCAUCGGAGCAAGCUGCAGCCUGGACACAAGCUAGAGAUUAAUCAGUCAGGAAUGAUCCUGCGUCCAGUGCCAGCAUGAUGGAAGAGACAGAGAAACAGAAGACAUCAGGGCUCCAGAGUCAAGGAGCCUGCAGCCCUAGAACCAGCUUCUUCGUGGACAAGCUCUGACUCCUUUGGGUGGAGAAUGGUAUUCAGAAACCCAGACCUGGGCUCUGGUGUGCUCACUGCUACUUGGGGUCAUUGCUUCUAGGCCUCUCUGCUGAUGGAGAGAAAGCUCUGCAAACUCAAGCUGGAGUGGGAUACUUGCUGACAUCUUCAAGCACCCCAGGAAUAGCUCUACUCCCCCAUUUCCACCUUGGCUGAACCAUCUAUAUCCCACCAAUUCCCCCAACAUCCCUCCAUCCGUCCAUCCAUCCACCCAAGGACCUGCUAAGCCAGGAGGUCUCUCCCAUCUACCCCACAGCCUGGCCUCAGCCCACAAGGGCUCUCUCUACAUGAAUCCCACCGCACCAGAGUAGACCAAGUCUCCCGUAGACUCCACCCUGACCACCUCCAUGCCUCCAGCCAUUCCCACCCCUAAAAACCCUCCCUGGUCUCUACACCCAGCUGAUGAAUACUUGGCUGAAUGUGACCUGGCCUCCUGGACCCAGGUGAAGCCCACGUCCUCCGUAAGCCCGCCAGCUCACCCUGCCUCUGCACCUUCACUGGAGAGAGCCCGCACUUCACCUCCUCAGGGCAGGCAUGGCUGAUGCCACCCAGUGGAACCUGGUGCAGAGCAGGGCCCGGUGCAGAGCAGGGCUGCCUGCAGAGCAAGGCCCGGGUGCUGGGGCCGAGCACCUCCAAUGCUGGCCGUGGACCCAUCCCUCCCAUUCCAGGUGCUGUCUCCAUCAAGAAUGAGCGAGCUGCUGACAUUUGCAUGACAAUAAUGAAUAAAUACCAUAUUUUGCUUCAAAUCCAGAAUAGAUGUGGCCAGGGUUGGCAUAUGACUGUUGGGAAAGGACAGUUUGCCUCUUCCCAAACCAACUUGGAUUAUAAAAAGCUUUUCUUAACGACCACAAGAGCGGAGGAG
rnacentral:lncRNA from 1 species